rnacentral:rRNA from 1 species
UGAUUAGACUUGCUCUUAUGUUCUUAGCGGCGGACGGGUGAGUACACGUGGGUAACCUGCCCAUAAGACUGGGAUAACUCCGGGAAACCGGGGCUAAUACCGGAUAACAUUUUGAACUGCAUGGUUCGAAAUUGAAAGGCGGCUUCGGCUGUCACUUAUGGAUGGACCCGCGUCGCAUUAGCUAGUUGGUGAGGUAACGGCUCACCAAGGCAACGAUGCGUAGCCGACCUGAGAGGGUGAUCGGCCACACUGGGACUGAGACACGGCCCAGACUCCUACGGGAGGCAGCAGUAGGGAAUCUUCCGCAAUGGACGAAAGUCUGACGGAGCAACGCCGCGUGAGUGAUGAAGGCUUUCGGGUCGUAAAACUCUGUUGUUAGGGAAGAACAAGUGCUAGUUGAAUAAGCUGGCACCUUGACGGUACCUAACCAGAAAGCCACGGCUAACUACGUGCCAGCAGCCGCGGUAAUACGUAGGUGGCAAGCGUUAUCCGUUU